rnacentral:rRNA from 1 species
UGAGUACGAGCUGCUACGGCAGCGAAGUGGGUGAUGUCAUGCUUCCAAGAAAAGCCCUAUACCCGUUAAGGCAUGAUGGCCUGUACCCGAAACCGACACAGGUGGGGUGGUAGAGAAUACCGAGGGGCGCGAGGUAACUCUCUCUAAGGAACUCGGCAAAAUGGCCCCGUAACUUCGGGAGAAGGGGUGCCACCGCAAGGUGGUCGCAGUGAAGAGGCCCAGGCGACUGUUUACCAAAAACACAGGUCUCCGCUAAGUCGCAAGACGAUGUAUGGGGGCUGACGCCUGCCCAGUGCCGGAAGGUUAAGGAAGCUGGUCAGCGUAAGCGAAGCUAGCGACUGAAGCCCCGGUGAACGGCGGCCGUAACGAUAACGGUCCUAAGGUAGCGAAAUUCCUUGUCGGGUAAGUUCCGACCCGCACGAAAGGCGUAACGAUCUGGGCGCUGUCUCGGAGAGAGGCUCGGCGAAAUAGAAUUGUCUGUGAAGAUGCGGACUACGUGCACCCGGACAGAAAGACCCUAUGAAGCUUUACUGUAGCUUGGUAUUGUGCUCGGGCUCGGAAUGCGCAGGAUAGGUGGGAGGCUAUGAACCAUUGCUUGUGGGUGAUGGUGAGCCACUGGUGAGAUACCACUCUUUCCGAGCUAGAGUUCUAACAGCCACCCGUUAUCCGGGGGCUGGACAGUAUCAGGUGGGCAGUUUGACUGGGGCGGUCGCCUCCUAAAAGGUAACGGAGGCGCGCAAAGGUUUGCUCAGGCUGGUUGGAAAUCAGCCGACGAGUGUAAAAGCAGAAGCAAGCUUGACUGUGAGACCUACAAGUCGAACAGGGAGGAAACUCGGCUUUAGUGAUCCGACGGUUCUGCGUGGAAGGGCCGUCGCUCAACGGAUAAAAGUUACUCUAAGGAUAACAGGCUGAUCUCCCCCAAGAGUUCACAUCGACGGGGAGGUUUGGCACCUCGAUGUCGGCUCAUCGCAACCUGGGGCUGAAGUCGGUCCCAAGGGUUGGGCUGUUCGCCCAUUAAAGCGGUACGCGAGCUGGGUUCAGAACGUCGUGAGACAGUUCGGUCCAUAUCCGGUGCAUGCGCAGGAAUAUUGAGAGGAUUUCUCCCUAGUACGAGAGGACCGGGAGGAACGCACCUCUGGUGUACCAGUUAUCGUGCCAACGGUAAACGCUGGGUAGCCAUGUGCGGAGAGGAUAACCGCUGAAAGCAUCUAAGUGGGAAGCCCACCUCAAGAUGAGUAUUCCCAUGGGGUAACCCAGUAAGGUCACGGGAAGAGCACCCGUUGAUAGGCUCUACGUGGAAGCGCAGUAAUGUGUGAAGCGGAGGAGAACUAAUAGACCGAGGGCUUGACC